GGCAGACAGAGACUGGAUGGUGACCAGAGAGCCAGGAGACCCCAGCCCAGCCCGAUGACCCGGGCCUGGGGCUGCCUCUCUGCUCCUGAGGGGCUAGUUAGUUAGAGGGGUCUGGGAAGACUUGGCCCCAGGGGUCCCGCACAGAUUCCGUCUGGGAGGGAGGAGACUGAACUAAAGGGCCCUGGCCAUGUGGGGAGCCACAGACCCCCUAGCCCUUCAGGGGCUUGUCUUAAUGGAAGGAGCUCACCUGCUCCGGCCAGACGGACCCCAGGCCACAGGAGGUUGGCACUGUCCUGAGAGGCCUGCAGCCUGGAACCUUCCCUGCUUUCCCCAGGGACUGAGGUUGUGGGGGGGGCCUGCCAGAGUCCUGCCCAGAGCUGAGGCCUGGCCUCCUCCCAUAGGAGCCUGAGGAUGGGGAGACACAGAACAGGUGGCCAUCAGCCCCUCCCUCAGAUUCUAAACACAGCCCAGCUUCCCAUCACCCCUGACGUGGGCAGCACCUGGAGGGACAGUGGGACCCGGACUGGCAGGUGAGCCGUACAUACGUACAUACGGAUGGAACGAAUUGACGAUGCAAACCCCGGCCCGGGAAGGAGGGCCGGCGCUCAAUGAACUCCUCCUUGAACUCUUCCUCUCCCUUGAAGCCCCUCAGUUUGGUGACACAGAUUUUACUGUAAUUAAUAAUAAUGUCACCUUUCACCGUGAAAGUGAAAGUUGUGUCCGACUCUUUGGGACUCUACACAGUCCACGGAAUUCUCCAUAACUGGAGGGUUCCAGGGACGGGGGAGCCUGGUGGGCUGCCGUCUAUGGGGUCGCACAGAGUCGGACACGACUGAAGCGACUUAGCAGCAGCAGCAGCAGCAGCAGUGAUCAGCAAAUAUUCCCUUGGAAAAAACUCCUAAAAGAAGACUCUCAGGCUGGGUGUCCUCCAACCACAGGAUCCAGAGGAGGAAAGCGAGGCUCAGAGGUCCCGAGAGUUGCAGAUCCAGAAUCUAACAUGAAGGCUGACCUCUGGGAGGACCGUGCUUACUGCUUCCCGUGUACGACUUCAUCAAACAUGAGAACCAGGAAACUGGGAGAUGGCGAAGGACAGGGAGCCUGGUGUGCUGCAGUUCAUGGGGUUGCAACGAGUCAGACACAACUUAGCCACUGAACAACAACAACAACAGAUCCCAUGUCAUAGACGAAAGGUCCAGAGGCGUCCAGUCACGUGCCCAGGUCCCACCGCUCCUUGGUGCCAGGAUCAACAACCAGACAUCUCAGCCAAAAGGUGGGAGCAACCCAAGUGACCGUAGAUGGUUGAAUGGAUAAACAAAACAUGAUCUAUCCAUACAAGAGACUCUUAGUCCACGGGGGACUCUUAAAGAGGAAGGAAGUUCUGACACGCAUGACGAUAAGGCUAACCUUGAAGACAUUAUGAUCAGUCACAAAAGGACACAAGCCAGUCACAAAAGGACAAAUAUUGCAGGAUUGCACUUCAUAGAGGGUAUUCAGAAUAGUCAAAUCCACGGGGACAGAAAGGAGCGUGGAGGUUGCCAGGACAGAAAGGGCUGGUGGGGAGGGAGAAUGCGCAGUUAGUGUGGGUGGGGGGAGUUCCAGCGGGGCGUGUUGAAGGGUUCUGGAGAUGAAUGGGGGUGCGG
ensembl:lncRNA